CUGCCUGCUGCAUAGCUGCUACUUCUGCUGGUUCUCUUCCUGCUCACACUCCUCCGGAGCAGUUUGGGAGAAGAACGCUAGUUUCUGUGAAAAGCUAAGGACACUGGUCUCUGAGGCGAAGGUCCGUGUUGUUUCCCAGCAGAGCUUUGGCUGAACAUGCCAUGUGGAUCCUCAUGUCUGCUUCUGCACACUGUGCACAAUGCACUGCGUCAGGGAUGUGCAGGCCUGGAUCCGAGCCUGGAGGAGGAGCCCGAGCGACAAGAAGAGUUCUCUGCCUUCCAAGCUCCUCCCACCACAAGCCCACCGCAGGGACCCGGGCCCAGGGCUGUGCGCUCAGCAGCGGAGCAGCUGCGUGUCGCUCGGGCCCUGGGCCCAGACCGCAGCCCAGGGAGCUGUGCCUGAGUCCGGAUGCCACACCACUCGCAGCGCUGUGCUUAGCUAUCCAUGCGUUUCUGUUGUGCUGCUGGGGAUUGAGCUUGGAACUGUACCGCAAAAGGGAACUUUAAAAGCUAGAUGCUUUGUUCUUUUAGAGAUAAGCGGCGCCUCCAGAUCUCCCCAAGAGCACAUGGCCGACACCCCGUCCUGUCCUCAGCCCGGGUGAACAGCAGAAGGACCUGGCUCCUCCCGUGCACACACAGCGGGAAGACCCACAACAGAACGGCUCUCAUUUGGAGAAAUGGCGAGCUCCGGCACUUCCCCUGAGGAAGCUAACUGGAACUGUCGCAGACCCAUCGCACCCGAAAUUCCUCUGGAACUCGGACGUCCAUAGAGUGAGCCAGGCCUCUCGGCAGCUGCAGUGGCUCUACUCACUGUGUUGAUAAACUGGAGAUUGCCGGUGUCUGAUUGCUGCCUGGUGAGAGCUCCGGAUUCACUUGAACCCUAAGCAGGAAAUGUUACUGCGCCUCAUCCACCCUCCUCUUAACCGAAGAACCCUUUUCCGGGGGGGGGGGGGAAACGCGCCUUAUGAG
rnacentral:lncRNA from 1 species